rfam:Ictidomys tridecemlineatus contig038497, whole genome shotgun sequence.
GGGCUCACUUUGGCAGCACAUAUACUAAAGUUGGAACCAUACAGAGAAUAUUAGCAGGUUCCUAUGCAAGGAUGAUACACAAAUUGGAGAAGUGAUCCGUAUUUUU